GUGCUUGUUUCAGCAGCACAUAUACUAAAUUGGAAUGAUACAGAAAAAGAGUUGCAUGGCCAUUGCACAAGAGUUACACACAAAUUCAAGAAGCACCCCAUAUGUUU
ensembl:snRNA U6 U6 spliceosomal RNA